UAGAGGCAGCAGUAGAGAAUCUUGUGCAAUAAACGAAAGUAUGACACAGAGAGGACACAUUUAAUUGAGCCCGUCAAAUUAAGUGCCAGCCGACGCGGUUAAACUUAAGGGCUGGUCUUUAUAAGUAAAAAGGCGUAAAGGAUGUGUAGGUUAAGAAACGAUCCAAGUAGGUAAAUGGAAUUUUUCUGGAGCGGUAGAAUGUGAGGAUAGAAAAUAGAACCCCUAAGGUAAAAACUAUUUACUACCAGAUAGGCUGAAACAUGAGAGUGUGGGGAGCAAACAGGAUUAGAGACCCUGGUAGUCCACACUGUGAACUUUGAAGAUGAUGCUUAGCAGACCCGAAAGGUAAAAUCUUCCGCCUGAGUAGUACGAUCGCAAGAUUAAAAUUCAAAAACUUUGGCUGUUCACUAUUUCGAUUAGAGGAGCGUGUAGUUUAAUUCGAUGGUCCGCGUGUUACCUUACCCCAACUUGAAUCUGUGACCGGUAUUGCAUGGCCGUCGUAAGUUCGUGUAUUAAGCUAGAAGGGACCCAACCCGGGCAUUUGCCCGGAGGAAGUCAGGUCUUAUGAUCCGAAUGUUGGGGGAUUUUAUGCGCUACAUUUUCUUAUAUAAUGAGAAACCUGAAAGGUGAGUCUCUAAAGUAAGAGUUCGGAAGGUCGCUGUAAGACGACUGGAAGUUGGAUUUAAUAGUAAUCGGAAAGUAGGGCGUUCCGGUGAAUUGGUACAAGUGUUAGCACAAAUUGCCCGUCACCUUUACUUAGA
rnacentral:rRNA from 1 species